AAAUAAAGCUAAGCAUAAGAGGCUAUGACAGCACAAAAGAAGGAGUGAAAACUCAGUUUCGAAGGGACAAAGUCAAGGAGACUUCAAAGAUGAGAAAUGAUUGCACUGGGCCUUAGAGAGGAAGUUCAGCAGAACAAGGUGGGAAGGGCACGAUAUCAGAGUAAGAGGCACUGAUGGUGAACAAAUAUAGAGACUGGAAUCCAGUGACGUCACACAGGCGCUCUGGAAGCCAGUGAUGCAGUAUCAGAAUCUGGGAUCUUCACCUCCCAUUGUCUCUGUCUCUCUCUUUCUCCUCUGCUUCCCCUCACCCCACAACCAAAGUCAAGAGCGCAGACCCCAUGAUCACCUGAUACUUCCAAGCAAGCAGGUGUUCUUUUCAGAAGCCAGAAGCUGAUAACCUGGGCUUUCUGAUCUAACCCCAGCCCAAAUUCAUUGCAAUGGAGGAAUUGGGGAGGAGAUUCUUCCUACUGAGAAGUGGGUGCCAACUCUCCCUUUCAAAUUUGUUCAUCAACAAACUAAAGGGGAUGCCAGAAAUGUCUGGAGCAAUGGAAGAACCACUGGAAUAGUGCUCCUGCCUGAUUGUAUCUACUUAACCCACUCUCCAAGAGCCAGAAUCAGAUUUCAACCGUAUGGAAUCAUCUACAAUGCAGCAGAUGGGUUUACAAGUCUCUUGGUCUCUUCAUGUAAUUAACAGCCAAGAAGUCUAAAGCUUGCAUUGUUUACGUGGAAGAUGUUUCUUGCCCAUUCCCAUGCCAUGCCAUCUGAAAUCGCUCCUUUUUUUAUUUUUUCUGUGCAGUUUUUUUAACUUUGUGGGAUCCUCUGCAUAUAAAACUCCAUUCAAGGAAGAAGGCGCAGCAAUCGUGUCCCAAGUCCUUGAGGACUUCACAGGGUGUUCUAGUGUCCUGAGAAUAUACCUGCCUAAGGAAUUUGGCUAUAGCUGGUAUUGGGUUCCUCAAACCAGCCCACCUGCGCUAUGGGAAUGUCAAAAUUGUCCUGGCAAGCUGAGGGGGCAUCCAGAGGUCACCCAGCUUUCCCCUGAAGCGUUGCUCAGAGGCCACUGUACCAUAAAAGGGAGUUCCCAUCCCACACUGGUUCUGAAGGGCGUAUCUGUUAGGGAGACUCCCAUGAGGGAGGGGAGCCGAGGGAAGAGGCUGAGUGAGGUGAAGAGAGUGUGUUUGUCCCUCCAGCUGUGCCAGGGUCUUCUCAGCCCUUCUCACAGAGGGCUGUCUGUGGACCUCUGUUCCUGGAAUCACCCCUCUGCACCACCCAAACUCCCUGAUUAUGAAUUACACAAUACAUCCCUAAUUCAGGCACUGUGGUGGGAUUCUGCCAUUCGAGAAUCUCAGACUAAGAUCAUCUGUUUCAACAAGCAUCGAUCAAGCACCCACAUUGCAGCUGGCACUCUGCUUGAUGGUGAGAUGAGUGUCAAGACCAGUUCCUUAUUUUACAGGGAAGGCCAUCAAGGUUGAAAGUGGAAAUUUCCCAAGGUCAGAGACAGAGUGGUAGAGCCAGUCCAUGCAUUCUGGUCUCCUGUCUCCUGUUCCAGUGCUCAUUCGUGACACUGCUGCUCUCCCUAACACUUCAUCCCACGAGAAUACUCUUGAGAAUAUUGUUCUUGGCUGUUCCAAAUAGAAAGAUCAUCUGUCCAU
rnacentral:lncRNA from 1 species